rnacentral:rRNA from 1 species
CCUACGGGAGGCAGCAGUGGGGAAUUUUGGACAAUGGGCGAAAGCCUGAUCCAGCAAUGCCGCGUGCAGGAAGAAGGCCUUCGGGUUGUAAACUGCUUUUGUACGGAACGAAACGGUCUGCUUUAAUACAGUGGGCUAAUGACGGUACCGUAAGAAUAAGCACCGGCUAACUACGUGCCAGCAGCCGCGGUAAUACGUAGGGUGCGAGCGUUAAUCGGAAUUACUGGGCGUAAAGCGUGCGCAGGCGGUUAUAUAAGACAGUUGUGAAAUCCCCGGGCUCAACCUGGGAAUUGCAUCUGUGACUGUAUAGCUAGAGUACGGUAGAGGGGGAUGGGAAUUCCGCGUGUAGCAGUGAAAUGCGUAGAUAUGCGGAGGAACACCGAUGGCGAAGGCAAUCCCCUGGACCUGUACUGACGCUCAUGCACGAAAGCGUGGGGAGCAAACAGGAUUAGAUACCCUGGUAGUCCACGCCCUAAACGAUGUCAACUGGUUGUUGGGUUGCAUUAGUACUCAGUAACGAAGCUAACGCGUGAAGUUGACCGCCUGGGGAGUACGGCCGCAAGGUUGAAACUCAAAGGAUUGACGGNUGNGNGNGCGAGACGACGACGAGGGAGGAGG